rnacentral:tRNA from 1 species
GCCUGGGUGGCUUAGUUGGUUGAGCAUCCGACUUCGGCUCAGGUCAUGAUCUCACAGUUUGUGAGUUCGAGCCCCACAUCGGGCU